rnacentral:rRNA from 1 species
UACGUAGGGUGCAAGCGUUAAUCGGAAUUACUGGGCGUAAAGCGUGCGCAGGCGGCUUUGCAAGACAGAUGUGAAAUCCCCGGGCUCAACCUGGGAACUGCAUUGGUGACUGCAUUGCUGGAGUAUGGCAGAGGGGGGUGGAAUUCCACGUGUAGCAGUGAAAUGCGUAGAGAUGUGGAGGAACACCGAUGGCGAAGGCAGCCCCCUGGGCCAAUACUGACGCUCAUGCACGAAAGCGUGGGGAGCAAACAGG